rnacentral:rRNA from 1 species
UACGUAGGGUCCGAGCGUUGUCCGGAAUUAUUGGGCGUAAAGGGCUCGUAGGCGGUCCGUCACGUCGGGAGUGAAAACUCGGAGCUCAACUCCGAGCCUGCUUCCGAUACGGGCAGACUAGAGGUAGGCAGGGGAGAGCGGAACUCCUGGUGUAGCGGUGGAAUGCGCAGAUAUCAGGAGGAACACCGGUGGCGAAGGCGGUUCUCUGGGCCUUACCUGACGCUGAGGAGCGAAAGCGUGGGGAGCGAACAGG